rnacentral:rRNA from 1 species
UACGGGGGGGGCAAGCGUUGUUCGGAAUUACUGGGCGUAAAGGGCUCGUAGGCGGCCAACUAAGUCAGACGUGAAAUCCCUCGGCUUAACCGGGGAACUGCGUCUGAUACUGGAUGGCUUGAAUUCGGGAGAGGGAUGCAGAAUUCCAGGUGUAGCGGUGAAAUGCGUAGAUAUCUGGAGGAACACCGGUGGCGAAGGCGGCAUCCUGGACCAACACUGACACUGAGGAGCGAAAGCCAGGGGAGCAAACGGG